UACGAAGGGGACUAGCGUUGUUCGGAAUUACUGGGCGUAAAGCGCACGUAGGCGGAUUUGUAAGUCAGGGGUGAAAUCCCGGGACUCAACCUCGGAACUGCCUUUGAUACUGCAAAUCUCGAGUCCGAUAGAGGUGGGUGGAAUUCCUAGUGUAGAGGUGAAAUUCGUAGAUAUUAGGAAGAACACCGGUGGCGAAGGCGGCCCACUGGAUCGGUACUGACGCUGAGGUGCGAAAGCGUGGGGAGCAAACAGG
rnacentral:rRNA from 1 species